CAACGCGAAGAACCUUACCUACUCUUGACAUCCACAGAAUUCGGCAGAGAUGCCUUAGUGCCUUCGGGAACUGUGAGACAGGUGCUGCAUGGCUGUCGUCAGCUCGUGUUGUGAAAUGUUGGGUUAAGUCCCGCAACGAGCGCAACCCUUAUCCUUUGUUGCCAGCGCGUAAUGGCGGGAACUCAAAGGAGACUGCCGGUGAUAAACCGGAGGAAGGUGGGGAUGACGUCAAGUCAUCAUGGCCCUUACGAGUAGGGCUACACACGUGCUACAAUGGCGUAUACAAAGAGAAGCGAACUCGCGAGAGCCAGCGGACCUCAUAAAGUACGUCGUAGUCCGGAUCGGAGUCUGCAACUCGACUCCGUGAAGUCGGAAUCGCUAGUAAUCGUAGAUCAGAAUGCUACGGUGAAUACGUUCCCGGGCCUUGUACACACCGCCCGUCACACCAUGGGAGUGGGUUGCAAAAGAAGUAGGUAGCUUAACCUUCGGGAGGGCGCUUACCACUUUGUGAUUCAUGACUGGGGUGAAGUCGUAAC
rnacentral:rRNA from 1 species